CCUACGGGAGGCUGCAGUGAGGAAUAUUGGUCAAUGGGCGGAAGUCUGAACCAGCCAAGCCGCGUGCGGGAAGACGGCUCUAUGAGUCGUAAACCGCUUUUGUACGAGGGUAACCCUUAAUACGUGUAUUCGGCUGCAAGUACUGUACGAAUAAGGAUCGGCUAACUCCGUGCCAGCAGCCGCGGUAAUACGGAGGAUCCGAGCGUUAUCCGGAUUUAUUGGGUUUAAAGGGUGCGUAGGCGGAUGGAUAAGUUAGAUGUGAAAUGGCCGAGCUUAACCCGGGAACGGCCUUUAAGCCUGGUGAUCUAGAGAGUAGAUGCGGUAGGCGGAAUGUAUGGUGUAGCGGUGAAAUGCUUAGAGAUCACACAGAACCCCGAUUGCGAAGGCAGCUUACCAAUGUAUAACUGACGUUGAGGCACGAAAGCGUGGGGAGCAAACAGGAUUAGAUACCCAAGUAGUC
rnacentral:rRNA from 1 species